GCAGCUGUGGCUCAGGUGGUAGGGUGGAUUGUCCACUAACCAUAGGGUUGGCGGUUCGAUUCCUGGCCCACGUGCC